CUUGGCGGCAAUAGCGAGUUGGACCCACCUGAUCCCAUCCCGAACUCAGAAGUGAAACGAUUUAGCGCCGAUGGUAGUGUGGGGUUUCCCCAUGUGAGAGUAGGACACCGCCAGGC
rnacentral:rRNA from 1 species